UAACGCGUGGGUAACCUGCCUCAUACAGGGGAAUAGCAGCUGGAAACGGCUGAUAAAACCGCAUAAGCGCACAGUGCCGCAUGGCACAGUGUGAAAAACUCCGGUGGUAUGAGAUGGACCCGCGUCUGAUUAGCUUGUUGGCGGGGUAACGGCCCACCAAGGCGACGAUCAGUAGCCGGCCUGAGAGGGUGAUCGGCCACAUUGGGACUGAGACACGGCCCAA
rnacentral:rRNA from 1 species